GGGGAUAUAGCUUAGUGGUAGAGCACUUGCCUAAUAGACCUGAGACUUUGGGUUCAAUCCCCAGUACCACAA
rnacentral:tRNA from 1 species